rnacentral:rRNA from 1 species
AGAGUUUGAUCCUGGCUCAGAUUGAACGCUGGCGGCAUGCUUUACACAUGCAAGUCGAACGGCAGCACGGGUGCUUGCACCUGGUGGCGAGUGGCGAACGGGUGAGUAAUGCGUCGGAACGUACCGAGUAAUGGGGGAUAACGCAGCGAAAGUUGUGCUAAUACCGCAUACGCCCUCCGGGGGAAAGCAGGGGAUCUUCGGACCUUGCGUUAUUCGAGCGGCCGACGUCUGAUUAGCUAGUUGGUGGGGUAAAGGCCUACCAAGGCGACGAUCAGUAGCGGGUCUGAGAGGAUGAUCCGCCACACUGGAACUGAGACACGGUCCAGACUCCUACGGGAGGCAGCAGUGGGGAAUUUUGGACAAUGGGGGCAACCCUGAUCCAGCCAUUCCGCGUGAGUGAAGAAGGCCUUCGGGUUGUAAAGCUCUUUCAGCAGGAACGAAACGGUACGCUCUAACAUAGUGUGCUAAUGACGGUACCUGCAGAAGAAGCACCGGCUAACUACGUGCCAGCAGCCGCGGUAAUACGUAGGGUGCGAGCGUUAAUCGGAAUUACUGGGCGUAAAGCGUGCGCAGGCGGAUUGUUAAGCAAGACGUGAAAUCCCCGGGCUUAACCUGGGAAUGGCGUUUUGAACUGGCAGUCUAGAGUGUGUCAGAGGGGGGUAGAAUUCCACGUGUAGCAGUGAAAUGCGUAGAGAUGUGGAGGAAUACCGAUGGCGAAGGCAGCCCCCUGGGAUAACACUGACGCUCAUGUACGAAAGCGUGGGUAGCAAACAGGAUUAGAUACCCUGGUAGUCC